rnacentral:rRNA from 1 species
GUAGUUAGCCGGGGCUUCCUCACAGGGUACCGUCAUUUCUUUCUUCCCCUGCGACAGAGGUUUACAACCCGAAAGCCUUCUUCCCUCACGCGGCGUUGCUGGGUCAGGCUUGCGCCCAUUGCCCAAUAUUCCCCACUGCUGCCUCCCGUAGGAGUCUGGACCGUGUCUCAGUUCCAGUGUGGCCGAUCAGCCUCUCAGCUCGGCUACCCAUCGUCGGCAUGGUGGGCCGUUACCUCACCAUCUACCUAAUGGGACGCGAACCCCUCCCAAAGCGGAUUGCUCCUUUGACCUCUGAAUCACUCAAUUCCGUGGUCUUAUGCGGUAUUAGCAUCGAUUUCUCGAUGUUAUCCCCCUNUUUGGGUCAGGUUGUUCACGCGUUACUCACCCGUUCGCCACUAAACUUAAUUUCACUCCAUCCGAAAACUUCGUUCCCUUAAGCUCCGUUCGACUUGCAUGUGUUAGGCACGCCGCCAGCGUUCGUCCUGACNCUGAUCAAACUCUGA